AGAGUUUGAUCCUGGCUCAGGAUGAACGCUAGCGGCAGGCUUAAUACAUGCAAGUCGAGGGGCAGCACGAAUAGCAAUAUUUGGUGGCGACCGGCGCACGGGUGCGUAACACGUAUACAAUCUACCUUCAACAGGGGGAUAGCCUUUCGAAAGAGAGAUUAAUACCCCGUAAUAUAUUUGGCGGCAUCGCCAGAUAUUGAAAGCUCCGGCGGUUGAAGAUGAGUAUGCGUCUGAUUAGCUAGUAGGUGAGGUAACGGCUCACCUAGGCUACGAUCAGUAGGGGAUCUGAGAGGACUAACCCCCACACUGGUACUGAGACACGGACCAGACUCCUACGGGAGGCAGCAGUAAGGAAUAUUGGUCAAUGGAGGCAACUCUGAACCAGCCAUGCCGCGUGCAGGAUGAAGGCCCUAUGGGUCGUAAACUGCUUUUAUACCAGAGAAAACCCUUCCACGUGUGGAAGGCUGAUAGUAUGGUAAGAAUAAGCAUCGGCUAACUUCGUGCCAGCAGCCGCGGUAAGACGAAGGAUGCAAGCGUUAUCCGGAUUCAUUGGGUUUAAAGGGUGCGUAGGCGGACUGGUAAGUCAGUGGUGAAAUCUCUUUGCUUAACAAAGAAACUGCCAUUGAUACUGCUAGUCUAGAGUAUAGAUGACGUUGGCGGAAUAUGACAUGUAGUGGUGAAAUACUUAGAUAUGUCAUAGAACACCGAUUGCGAAGGCAGCUAACGAAACUAUAACUGACGCUGAGGCACGAAAGUGCGGGGAUCAAACAGGAUUAGAUACCCUGGUAGUCCGCACCGUAAACGAUGAUUACUCGUUGUUGGCAAUAUGACCGUCAGCGACCAAGCGAAAGCGAUAAGUAAUCCACCUGGGGAGUACGCCGGCAACGGUGAAACUCAAAGGAAUUGACGG
rnacentral:rRNA from 1 species